AACAAACGCUGGCGGCGUGCCUAAUACAUGCAAGUCGAACGGUAACAGGUCUUCGGAUGCUGACGAGUGGCGAACGGGUGAGUAAUACAUCGGAACGUGCCCGAUCGCGGGGGAUAACGAAGCGAAAGCUUUGCUAAUACCGCAUAAGAUCUACGGACGAAAGCAAGGGACCGCAAGGCCUUGCGCGAACGGAGCGGCCGAUGGCAGAGUAGGUAGUUGGUGGGAUAAAAGCUUACCAAGCCGACGAUCUGUAGCUGGUCUGAGAGGACGACCAGCCACACGGGGACGGAGACACGGCCCAGACGCCUACGGGAGGCAGCAGUGGGGAAUUUUGGACAAUGGGCGCAAGCCUGAUCCAGCCAUGCCGCGUGCAGGAUGAAGGCCUUCGGGUUGUAAACUGCUUUUGUACGGAACGAAAAGACUAUGGUUAAUACCUGGGGUCCAUGACGGUACCGUAAGAAUAAGCACCGGCUAACUACGUGCCAGCAGCCGCCGUAAUAC
rnacentral:rRNA from 1 species